UACGAAGGGGGCUAGCGUUGCUCGGAAUCACUGGGCGUAAAGGGUGCGUAGGCGGGUCUUUAAGUCAGGGGUGAAAUCCUGGAGCUCAACUCCAGAACUGCCUUUGAUACUGAGGAUCUUGAGUACGGGAGAGGUGAGUGGAACUGCGAGUGUAGAGGUGAAAUUCGUAGAUAUUCGCAAGAACACCAGUGGCGAAGGCGGCUCACUGGCCCGUAACUGACGCUGAGGCACGAAAGCCAGGGGAGCAAACGGG
rnacentral:rRNA from 1 species